rnacentral:rRNA from 1 species
AACGAACGUUGGCGGCGUGGAUGAGGCAUGCAAGUCGAACGUGAAAGCCGCAAGGUGAGUAGCGUGGCGGACGGGCGAGUAACACGUAAUCAAGCUGCCUGCGAGACGGGGAUAACUUCGGGAAACCGAAGCUAAGACCCGAUGGUCUACCGAGACUGCAUGGUUUUGGUAGUAAAUGGGCGGGAUCCUUCGGGAUCGCCUGCUCGCAGAGGUGAUUGCGGCCCAUCAGCUAGUUGGUAGGGUAAUGGCCUACCAAGGCAACGACGGGUAGCCGGCCUAAGAGGGUGGUCGGCCGCACUGGGACUGAGACACUGCCCAGACUCCUACGGGAGGCUGCAGUCGAGAAUCUUCCGCAAUGGGCGAAAGCCUGACGGAGCGACGCCGCGUGGAGGACGAAGGCCUCGGUUGUAACUACCUGUCACGAGUUAAGAAGGACGCGAUGCGCGAACAGCGCAGGCGUUGACGUAAGCUCGAGAGGAAGCACUGGCUAACU